UAGCGUAUUGGUAGCUGGAAGCCAAGGGCGGUAGCGUG
rnacentral:ncRNA from 1 species